UUUUGACAUAAACUUAGAGAUGAGUUCUGUCAAUCAUGAUGCUAACUGUAAAAAGUGGAAAAUAAUUUUCAAUUCGGGAUGACAUCGUCAAACUUUGACUUGGUCCUAGAAAUUUCAUAAAACUUAAAAAUCAAGAUGAUACAUUAGAAUCAAGAAGAUUGAGGUUAGAGUUAACAUUCCACAUUCUUCAUAAAAAAUGAUAAUUGUGAUAGUAAAGAUGGAAUGAGGUUGUCAAAAAUAUUUAAAAUCAAGGUGAUAAAACUGCUCAGACCUUUCAAACUUACUUCUUUAGACAAUUUGGAAUCAUGCAAGAAAAUAGAGGAAUCAAAAAACGUAUUUUAACUCCAACUUUGAAUUUUUGGUUACUUGGAUUUCUUUUAAAUUAGUUAUUAGUGUAUUAUAGAACUUUAUUAAUACUGUUUUAGUUUCUGUUGGUGUCAACUAUGUAAUUAGAAGAUUUUCGCUGUUUUAGAAGCAGUCAGAUGCACUGUAAUAAUAUCAAAGUUAACGAAAGAAAACCCGAGACGAUCCACAACUCGAACUUCAAUGUUCUCGAAGUUGUAGUAUCUUCUGGGUCGCUAAUGCUGGAAUCUAUGUCUUUGCCGAAUUUAAUCGAAGGCGUUGCAAUUAAUAAUAACCUAAUCUGCUUGAAACUAAUUAACACAACUUACACAACCUCAACACAGUUGCAAAGAACCUCGGCUAAAGUUAGAGUCGACGUCCCUGCCUGGAUCAAGAUAAGACGUUACACUAAUAUUACAUACUUAUGAAACUGAUGAACACACAUCCUGUGUACUUGCGACCUCUUGCGAAUUGUUCAAAAGAGAUACAUAAUGAUAUAAAAUUAUUCAAAAUAAUGGAAACCUUAUUGGUAAUAAUUAGAAACUUGUCUAAGAGUUA